GGUCUAAUUAUUUAGGGUUUAUAA
rnacentral:tRNA from 1 species